GAUAACCUACCUAUAAGACUGGGAUAACUUCGGGAAACCGGAGCUAAUACCGGAUAAUAUUUUGAACCGCAUGGUUCAAAAGUGAAAGACGGUCUUGCUGUCACUUAUAGAUGGAUCCGCGCUGCAUUAGCUAGUUGGUAAGGUAACGGCUUACCAAGGCAACGAUGCAUAGCCGACCUGAGAGGGUGAUCGGCCACACUGGAACUGAGACACGGUCCAGACUCCUACGGGAGGCAGCAGUAGGGAAUCUUCCGCAAUGGGCGAAAGCCUGACGGAGCAACGCCGCGUGAGUGAUGAAGGUCUUCGGAUCGUAAAACUCUGUUAUUAGGGAAGAACAUAUGUGUAAGUAACUGUGCACAUCUUGACGGUACCUAAUCAGAAAGCCACGGCUAACUACGUGCCAGCAGCCGCGGUAAUACGUAGGUGGCAAGCGUUAUCCGGAAUUAUUGGGCGUAAAGCGCGCGUAGGCGGCCUUUUAAGUCUGAUGUGAAAGCCCACGGCUCAACCGUGGAGGGUCAUUGGAAACUGGAAAACUUGAGUGCAGAAGAGGAAAGUGGAAUUCCAUGUGUAGCGGUGAAAUGCGCAGAGAUAUGGAGGAACACCAGUGGCGAAGGCGACCCUCUGGUCUGUAACUGACGCUGAUGUGCGAAAGCGUGGGGAUCAAACAGGAUUAGAUACCCUGGUAGUCCACGCCGUAAACGAUGAGUGCUAAGUGUUAGGGGGUUUCCGCCCCUUAGUGCUGCAGCUAACGCAUUAAGCACUCCGCCUGGGGAGUACGACCGCAAGGUUGAAACUCAAAGGAAUUGACGGGGACCCGCACCCGCGGUGGAGCAUGUGGUUUAAUUCGAAGCAACGCGAAGAACCUUACCAAAUCUUGACAUCCUUUGACAACUCUAGAGAUAGAGCCUUCCCCUUCGGGGGACAAAGUGACAGGUGGUGCAUGGUUGUCGUCAGCUCGUGUCGUGAGAUGUUGGGUUAAGUCCCGCAACGAGCGCAACCCUUAAGCUUAGUUGCCAUCAUUAAGUUGGGCACUCUCAGUUGACUGCCGGUGACAAACCGGAGGAAGGUGGGGAUGACGUCAAAUCAUCAUGCCCCUUAUGAUUUGGGCUACACACGUGCUACAAUGGACAAUACAAAGGGCAGCGAAACCGUGAGGUCAAGCAAAUCCCAUAAAGUUGUUCUCAGUUCGGAUUGUAGUCUGCAACUCGACUACAUGAAGCUGGAAUCGCUAGUAAUCGUAGAUCAGCAUGCUACGGUGAAUACGUUCCCGGGUCUUGUACACACCGCCCGUCACACCACGAGAGUUUGUA
rnacentral:rRNA from 1 species